rnacentral:rRNA from 1 species
UAGGGAAUCUUGCGCAAUGGGCGAAAGCCUGACGCAGCCAUGCCGCGUGAAUGAUGAAGGUCUUAGGAUUGUAAAAUUCUUUCACCGGGGAAGAUAAUGACGGUACCCGGAGAAGAAGCCCCGGCUAACUUCGUGCCAGCAGCCGCGGUAAUACGAGGGGGGCUAGCGUUGCUCGGAAUUACUGGGCGUAAAGGGCGCGUAGGCGGAUAUUUAAGUUGGGGGUGAAAGCCCGGGGCUCAACCUCGGAAUAGCCUUCAAUACUGGAUAUCUUGAGUUCGGGAGAGGUGAGUGGAAUGCCGAGUGUAGAGGUGAAAUUCGUAGAUAUUCGGCGGAACACCAGUGGCGAAGGCGACUCACUGGCCCGAUACUGACGCUGAGGCGCGAAAGCGUGGGGAGCAAACAGGAUUAGAUACCCUGGUAGUCCACGCCGUAAAACGAUGAGUGCUAGUUGUCGGCAUGCAUGCAUGUCGGUGACGCAGCUAACGCAUUAAGCACUCCGCCUGGGGAGUACGGUCGCAAGAUUAAAAACUUAAAUG